rnacentral:rRNA from 1 species
GAUGAACGCUGGCGGCGUGCCUAAUACAUGCAAGUCGAGCGAACGGACGAGAAGCUUGCUUCUCUGCUGUUAGCGGCGGACGGGCGAGUAACACGUGGAUAACCUACCUAUAAGACUGGGAUAACUUCGGGAAACCGUAGCUAAUACCGGAUAAUAUUUUGAACCGCAUGGUUCAAAAGUGAAAGACGGUCUUGCUGUCACUUAUAGCUGGAUCCGCGCUGCAUUAGCUAGUUGGUAAGGUAACGGCUUACCAAGGCAACGAUGCAUAGCCGACCUGAGAGGGUGAUCGGCCACACUGGAACUGAGACACGGUCCAGACUCCUACGGGAGGCAGCAGUAGGGAAUCUUCCGCAAUGGGCGAAAGCCUGACGGAGCAACGCCGCGUGAGUGAUGAAGGUCUUCGGAUCGUAAAACUCUGUUAUUAGGGAAGAACAUAUGUGUAAGUAACUGUGCACAUCUUGACGGUACCUAAUCAGAAAGCCACGGCUAACUACGUG